rnacentral:rRNA from 1 species
AUUGAACGCUGGCGGCAUGCCUUACACAUGCAAGUCGAACGGUAACGCGGGGCAACCUGGCGACGAGUGGCGAACGGGUGAGUAAUGCAUCGGAACGUGCCUGGUAGUGGGGGAUAACUGCUCGAAAGAGCAGCUAAUACCGCAUACGACCUGAGGGUGAAAGGGGGGGAUCGCAAGACCUCUCGCUAUCAGAGCGGCCGAUGUCGGAUUAGCUAGUUGGUGGGGUAAAGGCCCACCAAGGCAACGAUCCGUAGCUGGUCUGAGAGGACGACCAGCCACACUGGGACUGAGACACGGCCCAGACUCCUACGGGAGGCAGCAGUGGGGAAUUUUGGACAAUGGACGCAAGUCUGAUUCAGCCAUGCCGCGUGCGGGAAGAAGGCCUUCGGGUUGUAAACCGCUUUUGUCAGGGAAGAAAUCUUCUGGGCUAAUACCCUGGGAGGAUGACGGUACCUGAAGAAUAAGCACCGGCUAACUACGUGCCAGCAGCCGCGGUAAAAC